rnacentral:rRNA from 1 species
ACAACUUUCAGCAACGGAUCUCUUGGCUCUCGCAUCGAUGAAGAACGCAGCGAAAUGCGAUAAGUAAUGUGAAUUGCAGAAUUCAGUGAAUCAUCGAAUCUUUGAACGCACCUUGCGCUCCUUGGUAUUCUGAGGAGCAUGCCUGUUUGAGUGUCAUGGAAU